GGUCUCAUGCCACGUCGCCGGUAGCUAUGGACGAUGACCGGCGAUGCUAUGAUGAGACCGAUAAUAAUCGUAUGUUUCGCAUGCUGAUAGGAACCUGUGGAUGUUAUUCAAUCUUCCGUCCACGGAGCCGAUUUAUGUGAUUACAUUU